UAACUAAACCAUUACGAGAGGCAAGUAUUGAAGCUCAGGAAAAAAGGCCAUUUUCCUGAGUUCUCUCAGCUGGAUGUGCUGUUUAUGUCUGGAAGCCUGAGACACUCUGCUCCACAAAAGCAAGGAAUUCUGCACCUCCCAAUGCACUGGAGUAGAGUCAAGGCGAGGACUAUUCGACCUGGCUUUUUAACCCAGGACAAGCUCAUGAAAAAGAUGAAAGGGAAAUUUUCUGACAAGUCAAGCAUCAAGGACCUCCCCCACCCUUCUGCUGGGUUUUCGGGGACACCACCCUGAAAAGGAGAUUCACGGGCAGGAAGAUAUUUGAGCCAAACAGAGCAUCACCUAAGAACAAGUAAAAGAAGCAAGACUCAGAGAGGUGGGAACCACAGCACCAUUGUCAUGGGAACCACAAUGUGACAACUCCAGAACAAAGUAUUCUUUCCUCCAGCAUCAAAGCAUAAGUCUUAGGUAAGUAUUUAUUGGUGCAGAGUGCCUGACCUUUAAUCUAACUACCAAGACCAGGUCAAGAGUAAUUGUGACUAGCCACAAAUUAGAUGACCCCACCUACCAAUAAAAACAGUUAUUGGAGCCAGCAGUAUGGCUCAAUGGCUACAAACACUUGCCACCAAGCCUGGACCUGAGUUCAAUCCCUGGAAUCCACAUGGUGAGAAGAAAGAACCAACUCCCUUAAAUUGUCCUCUGACUUUUAGACAGACUCUAUGGUAUGCACAUACCUGCUCCCCAACACUAAUUAAAUAAAUGCAAAAGAAAUUAGAAACUUAAAAAAAAAAAAAAAAA
rnacentral:lncRNA from 1 species